GGGGAUGUAGCUCAGGGAGGGAGUGCUUGCCUAGCAUGCAGGAGGCUGUGGGUUCAAUCCCCAGCACUGCUG
rnacentral:tRNA from 1 species